AGAGUUUGAUCAUGGCUCAGAUUGAACGCUGGCGGCAGGCCUAACACAUGCAAGUCGAGCGGUAGCACAGAGAGCUUGCUCUCGGGUGACGAGCGGCGGACGGGUGAGUAAUGUCUGGGAAACUGCCUGAUGGAGGGGGAUAACUACUGGAAACGGUAGCUAAUACCGCAUAACGUCGCAAGACCAAAGUGGGGGACCUUCGGGCCUCAUGCCAUCAGAUGUGCCCAGAUGGGAUUAGCUAGUAGGUGGGGUAAUGGCUCACCUAGGCGACGAUCCCUAGCUGGUCUGAGAGGAUGACCAGCCACACUGGAACUGAGACACGGUCCAGACUCCUACGGGAGGCAGCAGUGGGGAAUAUUGCACAAUGGGCGCAAGCCUGAUGCAGCCAUGCCGCGUGUGUGAAGAAGGCCUUCGGGUUGUAAAGCACUUUCAGCGGGGAGGAAGGCGUUAAGGUUAAUAACCUUGGCGAUUGACGUUACCCGCAGAAGAAGCACCGGCUAACUCCGUGCCAGCAGCCGCGGUAAUACGGAGGGUGCAAGCGUUAAUCGGAAUUACUGGGCGUAAAGCGCACGCAGGCGGUCUGUCAAGUCGGAUGUGAAAUCCCCGGGCUCAACCUGGGAACUGCAUUCGAAACUGGCAGGCUAGAGUCUUGUAGAGGGGGGUAGAAUUCCAGGUGUAGCGGUGAAAUGCGUAGAGAUCUGGAGGAAUACCGGUGGCGAAGGCGGCCCCCUGGACAAAGACUGACGCUCAGGUGCGAAAGCGUGGGGAGCAAACAGGAUUAGAUACCCUGGUAGUCCACGCCGUAAACGAUGUCGAUUUGGAGGUUGUGCCCUUGAGGCGUGGCUUCCGGAGCUAACGCGUUAAAUCGACCGCCUGGGGAGUACGGCCGCAAGGUUAAAACUCAAAUGAAUUGACGGGGGCCCGCACAAGCGGUGGAGCAUGUGGUUUAAUUCGAUGCAACGCGAAGAACCUUACCUGGUCUUGACAUCCACAGAACUUUCCAGAGAUGGAUUGGUGCCUUCGGGAACUGUGAGACAGGUGCUGCAUGGCUGUCGUCAGCUCGUGUUGUGAAAUGUUGGGUUAAGUCCCGCAACGAGCGCAACCCUUAUCCUUUGUUGCCAGCGGUCCGGCCGGGAACUCAAAGGAGACUGCCAGUGAUAAACUGGAGGAAGGUGGGGAUGACGUCAAGUCAUCAUGGCCCUUACGACCAGGGCUACACACGUGCUACAAUGGCAUAUACAAAGAGAAGCGACCUCGCGAGAGCAAGCGGACCUCAUAAAGUAUGUCGUAGUCCGGAUUGGAGUCUGCAACUCGACUCCAUGAAGUCGGAAUCGCUAGUAAUCGUAGAUCAGAAUGCUACGGUGAAUACGUCCCGGGCCUUGUACACACCGCCCGUCACACCAUGGGAGUGGGUUGCAAAAAGAAGUAGGUAGCUUAACCUUCGGGAGGGCGCUUACCACUUUGUGAUUCAUGACUGGGGUGAAGUCGUAACAAGGUAACCGUAGGGGAACCUGCGGUUGGAUCACCC
rnacentral:rRNA from 1 species